rnacentral:sRNA from 2 species
GUACGGCACAGUAUCCUAGUUGAAGCACGUUUUACCGAAGACGGGCCUAAAAAUCCGUUAAAGGGCACAUCGAUGAAACUCCUUGUUGCUGCUUUUUACGCCCAGUUUAGGGUGGCUGCUGGGAGGUUAGGACUGCGGGCGAACCGUAAUGGCAUAUGGAGCUCGACCCGCUUUCCGUGGAGGCUUCCUUUCGUGGUUAAAUUGCCGAUCUAUCGCAAAGAGACUACGGCUGGAAGAUUAAACCUAUUACGCGGUGCAAAUUUUACGACGCUGUGGAUAGAGUAGCCUGUCUUGAGUGAUUCUGGCGGAUAGAGGAAUCAAACCAUGCUUUCCUUGGCCGAGGAAAGAUGGUCAUUGCCUUUUGAAACCAGCGUUGCAAAAGAGACUAGGAAAACGGUAACUUCAUGAAGGAAAACUUCUAGGCUGUUUGUAAUAGGUGUAAAAAGGAUUGCAGUGCGGACUAAACGGCAAUCAAGUCGCGGACGCGGAGACGCUCCGACCUUCGCUUUAAAGGGAAACCACUCUCAUCGGCAACGAAGAGCAGCGUCGGGGGAAAGCCUACUUGACCUAUGCCGCAAGGUUUACUUUUUACACCGCCGAACUCUUUUUU